CAAAAAUGUUGUUGUACGGGGGGCCCUUGAUUUCUAAUGGUGACCCUGACCACCAUGAUAUGCUCCAAAUCCUGCAGAUACAACUCUAUGGCCUCAUUGUCUAUAAAAUGUGAUUGAAAACAGGUCCUUCUGUUAAAAGCUCUCAAACAUUCAUCCCCUAUUGCCAGACCUUCUCUCACUUCCACUGUGAUUCUAAUGUGCCAACUAGGAUUCAAAAUGCCAACUGUUAAAGUGAGUAGCCGCUUAUUAAAUACUCUACCCAUCGGUAUAAUCCUGGUGGCAAAAUUGAGAUUCCCUAUCAAUGAUUGUAACGGCCAUAAGGUUAAUUUCUUUGCAGCUUUUCCCGUGUUAACCAAUUCUUUAGCUUAAUCAACUUAUCACUUGUCAGUCUAAAUUCCAUUGCAAUGAUAUCAAUCUCGAUACUUAGAUAUUGAAUUAAGGACAGGGUGCUAUUGGGUUUUUUGUUGCGGACAAGGGAAUUCCAAACCGUAUAGCCAUUAGUUUAAAUGUUUCUAAUAAUAUGUGGCAAGUCUUAGUGUCCUUUGGUCCCAUAAACAGGGAGUCAUCCAGAUAAUGAAUAAUACAUUUUGAAUUUGUCAGAAAUGAGACUGUCCACUGAAGAAAUAAAAAACAAAAACCUAGUAGAUAGUAACUUGCAGGGUGAAUUAGUAAUAUCCUAAAGGCCGACUCAAUAUCAGAUUAACAAGCCAGGCUCCUUGACCACAUCCACAAAGUAGUUCCAGUGCUUUAUAAAAAGAUGCAUAUGACACUGCACAUAAAUCUGGAUCAAUACCAUCAUUGAUGGAUAAUCCUUUAGGGAAUGUGAGAUGAUGUAUCAAUCUAAAGGAGCCUGAUUCUUUUCUAGGAACAAGACCUAAUGGAGAAACUUACAAAUCUGAUAAUGGCAGCUCUGAGAAUGGCCCUUCAAUCCUGCCUAACGAUUGCUCUUUAUCAAACUUCUGUUGGCCAAUGCGUGGAUGUUCACUCAAAGAUUUCAAAUAUAAAAAAAACAUAGAUGGUGGUAAAUGUAACCCAAUCAGAGUAACCUCAUAAGAUGGAAUCACAAUAUGUAGUUUUAGCAAUGACUGAUAAACACCAGGAACAUCUAGAGCAUUCAGGUGAAGGCUUCAUCGCCAGCCUCUCUGCUUAUCCACCGUAGCAUCUCCUCAGCUGCCACUUCCAUGAAACUCACCAUGCUCCAGGAUCUUCAGGGAUGUCUCAGGACCUGAUUCUACAAUGAUAAGUAUACCUCCCUGGAGACCUGCUUAUAUAGGGGCUCGU